rnacentral:rRNA from 1 species
UACGUAGGGUGCAAGCGUUGUCCGGAAUUAUUGGGCGUAAAGAGCUCGUAGGCGGUUUGUCACGUCUGCUGUGAAAACUCGGGGCUUAACUCCGGGCCUGCAGUGGGUACGGGCAGACUAGAGUGCGGUAGGGGAGACUGGAAUUCCUGGUGGAGCGGUGAAAUGCGCAGAUAUCAGGAGGAACACCGGUGGCGAAGGCGGGGCUCUGGGCCGUAACUGACGCUGAGGAGCGAAAGCGUGGGGAGCGAACAGG